UACGGAAGGCAGCAGUGGGGAAUAUUGCACAAUGGGCGCAAGCCUGAUGCAGCCAUGCCGCGUGUAUGAAGAAGGCCUUCGGGUUGUAAAGUACUUUCAGUCGUGAGGAAGGUGUUAAGGUUAAUAACCUUAGCAAUUGACGUUAGCGGCAGAAGAAGCACCGGCUAACUCCGUGCCAGCAGCCGCGGUAAUACGGAGGGUGCGAGCGUUAAUCGGAAUUACUGGGCGUAAAGGGCACGCAGGCGGUUAAUUAAGUUGGAUGUGAAAUCCCCGGGCUUAACCUGGGAAUGGCAUUCAAGACUGGUUAGCUAGAGUCUUGUAGAGGGGGUAGAAUUCCAUGUGUAGCGGUGAAAUGCGUAGAGAUGUGGAGGAAUACCGGUGGCGAAGGCGGCCCCUGGCAAAGACUGACGCUCAUGUGCGAAAGCGUGGGGAGCAAACAGGGAUUAGAUACC
rnacentral:rRNA from 1 species